rnacentral:rRNA from 1 species
AUUGAACGCUGGCCGCAGGCUUAACACACGCAAGUCGAACGAGCGGCGGUCGGGUGAGUAAUGUCUGGGACUCUCUCUUAUGGAGGGGGAUAACUACGGGAAACUGUAGUUAAUACCUCGUACCAUAGGAUGUGCCCAAGUGGGAUUAGGUAGUUGUUGAGGGAAAGGCUCACCAAGCCGACGAUCCCUAGUUGGUCGGAGAGGAUGACCAGCCACACUGGGACUGAGACGCGGCCCGGACUCCUACGGUAGGAAGCAGUGGGGAAUAUUGCACAAUGGGGGCAGCAUGACGCAGCCAUGCCGCGUGAAUGAAGAAGGCCUUCGGGUUGUAAAGUUCUUUCGGUAGCGAGGCGUUAAAUACAGAAGAAGCACGGGCUAACUCCGUGCCAGCAGCCGCGGUAAUAC